CCUCACAAUGGCACUUUGUGGGUGCAGAGCUGCAAAGAUGACUGCCUCAUUUUAUGGAGGAGGAAACUCAGGCCCAGAGAGGAAGAGGAGGAGUCACCUACACAAGGCCAACAUCAUGAAAGACAAAGAAAGGCUGAGAAACUGUUCCAGAUUAAAGGAUACUAAAGAGACAUGACAACUACAUGCAACAUGUAAUCCCAAACUAGAAAAAAAGCUGUAAAGGACAUUACUGGGACUGAACAAAAUACAGACUACAUAGGUUCUGGGAAUUCAGCAGUGAUGAGGAGGUAGUCCUUACUCUCAUGGAACUUGCAAUCUGGUCAGAGAGAGAGAUCCCCAACACGUAGAGACGUAUAUAUAUGGUGUGUCAGGUGACGAGAAACGCUAAAGCAAUCCUGAGAUGAGGAGGCUGAGGCCAAAGGAAAGACUAAGACCUGCCCAUGGACACAUGUUGGCAAAGACCAAGCAGGAACUCGAGCCAGUUUACCUGAAACCAAGGUCCAGGCAUUUGUGAAGGUAGAAGGCUGAAUAAAUGAAAUUGUAUAAUUAUAUUAAUUCUAUUGAUUGAUUAGCAGCAGGGCU
rnacentral:lncRNA from 10 species